rnacentral:rRNA from 1 species
UACAGAGGUCCCAAGCGUUGUUCGGAUUCACUGGGCGUAAAGGGUGCGUAGGUGGCGAGGUAAGUCGGAUGUGAAAGCUCGGAGCUCAACUCCGAAAUGGCAUUGGAAACUACCUUGCUCGAGGGUUGGAGGGGGGACUGGAAUUCUCGGUGUAGCGGUGAAAUGCGCAGAUAUCAGGAGGAACACCGAUGGCGAAGGCAGGUCUCUGGGCCAUAACUGACGCUGAGAAGCGAAAGCAUAGGGAGCGAACAGG